rnacentral:rRNA from 1 species
UCGGAUGGUGGCGACCGGAGCACGGGUGAGUAACGCGUAUGCAACCUACCUGUAACUGGGGGAUAGCUCCCUGAAAGGGGAAUUAACACCGCAUAAGACCACGCUUUCGCAUGGAAGAGUGGUAAAAUAUUUAUAGGUUACAGAUGGGCAUGCGUGACAUUAGUUUGUUGGUGAGGUAACGGCUCACCAAGACUACGAUGUCUAGGGGUUCUGAGAGGAAGGUCCCCCACACUGGUACUGAGACACGGACCAGACUCCUACGGGAGGCAGCAGUGAGGAAUAUUGGUCAAUGGGCGCAAGCCUGAACCAGCCAUGUCGCGUGCAGGAAGACGGCCCUAUGGGUUGUAAACUGCUUUUGUAUGGGAAGAAAUUGUUCGACGUGUCGGACAUUGCCGGUACCAUACGAAUAAGGAUCGGCUAACUCCGUGCCAGCAGCCGCGGUAAUACGGAGGAUCCGAGCGUUAUCCGGAUUUAUUGGGUUUAAAGGGUGCGUAGGCGGAAUGGUAAGUCAGAGGUGAAAUCCUGCAGCUCAACUGUAGAAUAGCCUUUGAAACUGUCAUUCUUGAGUACAUUUGAGGUAGGCGGAAUGUGGUGUGUAGCGGUGAAAUGCAUAGAUAUACCACAGAACACCGAUUGCGAAGGCAGCUUACUAAACUGUAACUGACGCUGAGGCACGAAAGCGUGGGUAUCAAACAGGAUUAGAUACCCUGGUAGUCCACGCUGUAAACGAUGAUUACUGGUUGUUUGCGAUACACAGCAAGUGACUGAGGGAAACCAUUAAGUAAUCCACCUGGGGAGUACGUCGGCAACGAUGAAACUCAAAGGAAUUGACGGGGG